GUCAGAACAGGUCACACUGAACAAACAGGUCAGAACAGGUCACAAUAAACAGGUCAUCAGAACAGGUCAACAGGUCAGAACAGGUCACAGUGAACAGGUCAUCAGAACAGGUCAGAACAGGUCACACUGAACAGGUCAGCAGGUUAGAACAGGUCACACUGAACAGGUCAUCAGGUCAGAACAGGUCACACUGAACAGGUCAACAGGUCAUCAGAACAGGUCACGCUUAACAGGUCAUCACAAUCAUAAAAAAAAAAAAAUUGUGAACAUUUCUAACCUUUUUCAGGGGUGGGUCAAUAUCACUGAAGUGUUAUUUUUUGUCCCGUGUAGCUCAGUUGGUAGAGCAUGGUGUUUGCAACGCCAGGGUUGUGGGUUCGAAUCCCACGGGGGACCAGUAUGGAAAAAAAUG
rnacentral:tRNA from 1 species